CCAAAAUUACAUAUGAACAGUGGAGAUGAAGAUCCACCCGUUAGUAAAUUAUGGAGAAAAAUAAAAAAAGAUUGAAAGCAAUGCAAUAUUUUUUUUCAGAUGGUGCCUUCUAUCAGUCAAGUUCAUUUUCUCAAAUAUUUAUUACUAGGCUGGCAUUGUUGUGGCUGGCUCAAAAAAUAGCAACCUUCUACUGAAUAUGAAAAGAAUACGUAGAUUUUUAUGUGAACUAGACAAACAAACAUGGUGUACAGACUUGUUGUCCAUUUUUAAACACAAAGAUAUACCCCAAAGCUGCCUGACAAUACUGCUGCUGACUAUUAUUCACUUCAAUUCACCUGACUGUCUUGGUCAGUUUGGUGUUUUCCACAUUUGAAGAUCUCACAGCAGGUUUCACCACAGGUUUGUGAUACUAAGACAAGAACAACUUCAACCCUGCUAAACCAACAGAGCUAGACCUCUGGAAGAGGACAUUCCUCAUCUAAGGAAACCUCAAGGAGGGUUGUGCAGAGAUGACACCUGGGAUCAAGGAUAGAACUAGAACAUACCCACAACUCCUGUUUACUGAAUAUGUUUUCUGGAGACAAGAAAACUAAUUAUAAAAUAAUAUUGAUGGCUCUGGCAGGUGGCAAAGGAGCUUUACAAUGUCAGUGUACCAUUGCCCAUGUUUUCUCUCUCUUCUGAGUGUUUACAGCACCUUUGCCACAGGUGUGAGAAGGGAAUGCCUGAUUCAUGUGCCCCAGUCCAGCUCACACCAUGGUGUACAGAUAUUUAUCUCCUCCAGUCUGCUUGACUUUGGGUUCAGUCAGCCCAAUAGAGAAAUGGGAGCUAACGUGCUAAACUUGCCUUGCUUUCCUUUGUGGAAAUCAAGUUGUGUGAUGUCUGCAAGCUCUGGACUGGGUCGUGGCAGGACAUGGGGCUGCCAGAAAGGGCCUGGACUCUCCAAGGCUGCUGGAGGGCAAAUGCAUCUGCUCUGUGGGCUCCUUUCCACACCUCUGUACGUCAGGCUAUUGACUGCCACAGUUCAGGUUGCUUCUCAUUCCCAUGCGCACCUGGUUCAUCCUUCUGGUAGGGGAAUUGGGAAGGAAAAUUAUGCACUACCUGAAAGGGGGCAGAGAUCAAUUAUCCAGCAGAUCCCAGAACUCCUCGCUUUUCUUCUCUACCCUUGAUAUCCAGAUUUACCAAGUUGCCAACCACAUCAGGAGGAGAUACUUCUUCUGGGUAAUACCUACCUAAAGUAUUACUUUAAUUAGAGCCAAAGAAGGCCAGGAGAAAGUGAAAGGCAGAGAACCUAGUCCUUUUCCUGCAAGAUAACAAAUUCUUAUGAAGCAAUUACAGUAACUUUAUCCUGGUAUCAAGACACAAUGGAUUCUUGCCAUCCUAACAGGAUUUUGAUUGUUAAGAGGGAUUAUCGGUUUUCUUUCACACUGUGGAGAGCAUGAAACUUUCAGGGAAUAAUGUCCAACAUCUGUUGGACGUCUCCUUCCAGCCACCUGCCCUCAGAGGGCCCCCAAACAAUAAUGAACUUCCAGGCUUUUUAAAACUGUUUCAGACAAAGUCUUCACCUCAGGAAAUAUCAUAGAAUCAUAAAAUGGUUUGUGUUGGAAGGGACCUUAAAAAUCUAGUUCCAAUGCCCUUGCAGGGACACCUUCCACUACACCACGUUGCUCUGAGCUCCAUCCAGCCUGGCCUUGAAUACCUCCAGGGAUGGAUUAUCUAAAACUUUUCUGGGCAACCUGUUCCAUAUAUGGACAGUAAAUUCCAUGACUAAAUGGGUUUCCACAAUUUCUAUCACCAAGCCUUUGAAUGAAAAGGUCUGUAACAUCUCAGAUGAAUUUCUGAAUAUACUGGACUGAUAGCUCUGAUUCUUUGUUUUCACACAUUGUUUUGGGUUUAGUAUGGAAAUGUUUAACCUGGGUGCCACAAGAGCAGGGAACAACUAUAGGUAUACAAAGUUGCAAUCAUGCAAUAAUAGCAAGAUAUUUUUAAUAGGGUUCAUGCAAUGCCUUAUAAUAGUGUGGUUGAAAAGAAACAAACACAAAAAGUUAUUUUCUUCAUCUGUCUUAACAAAAUUGCAGAUACGUUUGAAUUUGCCAAGACUUUGAUUUAUGAAUGAUAAAUAUGAAACAGGCAUUAGAAGCUGCAAACAAUGCUUGAUCAUCCAUCAAACAGACAAACCUGAUGGUCUGAGAAGGCUGCUGAUUUCAUCAGGGUUGUGUUUGUCUGCUUUUCCUAGCUACUUCUUUCUAUAGCCAAUCACUUCUAUUUUCAACCAUUUGUGCAGUCUGUCUUGCAUUUGAAACAAGGAGAAACAAUUUCUGCAAAAUCAGUGAAAGAAGCCACAAGUCAUCUCCCACUGACUCCUCUGAUUAAAUUUUGCCAUGUUCCUCUGCCUACAGUCCCCAGCAUAAAAUAGAAAAACAUAUAAAAUUGAGCAGUCUGAGUAUGCUGUCACAGCAUGUAGGUCACCUGAUCAGUUAUCCAGCACUGACACAUAAGCUUCUGUGUUAAUAAACUUUGUGACUAUGUGGAUCAAUUUCAGCAUCCAAAUCUAAUAGAAAAAAAUCCUCAGCUUUUUUAAUUUAAUUUUUUAAUUUUGGCACCAUAUUUCCCCCAGAAGAAGAUUAUAGAAAGAGUUCAUCACGAAAGUACAGACAAAAAUUCAAAUACUGGCUUCCUUUAAGCAGCUGAAAAGCUGUACAAAACUAACCUUCAUGUCCUUCUAAGCAGUCUCUCUAAUCUUUCAAAUCCCAUUCAAUCUUAUUAUCAACUCACUUGGCAGAAUUAAUGUACUAAAAUGGGCACUUUGCCAAGUUUUUUAUAACAGUUAGUUUCUAUUAUGCCAAUUCAAUUGGAAAUUAUUAAAAAUAUAAGCAAAAAGACCAAUGAAGAUAUGGUUGACUACGUUACAGCCUAAAGAUAUAAUUAGUCUUAUAAAAAUGAUAAAAGGAUAUUAAACAUGUAUAUUUAUGAUAUGACAGAUUCAAAUCUACAUGACACACAGAAAAUGAGCAACCAAACUCACCCAAACUAAUCGGAAAUGAAGGCUGAUUCUUUUUCACAUUGAAAUAUUAAAAGUACAUGGUGCUAAAUGGAAAUCUCUUCGUUUUGAUUUGGAUAAUAAAACAUGUAACCGCUUUGCCUCCUCAGUCUGGAACACCAAAUGAGUUAUACUUUUCAUAAUUAGUGCCAAACCAAAAAUAGGUUGGGUAUCUACUUCUAAGACACUGCUAUUUUCAGCACUGCUUGUAACAGAAUUUUUUUGGCCACACUGGGAGGUAUAACCUUUAUAAACUGUUGUGCUAGUAGUGUCCUGGUGGCCUGAGUUCAGAGCAAAGAAAUAAGCACAAGUUGUACAUAUGUGUUGUCCAGGAACUUGUUUGCACCAAAAAUACUGUUACCAUGAACAGGGAUGUAAAGAACCUUCUGAUCAUUUGUGUGAAGGUGUUACAAUUUCUGUAGACUUUUCAAAGUCUAGGAUGUGACCACUGUGAUCGGCUAUGAAAACUAUCAGUAUACUUAAUUCUUCAGACUGGGACAUGGCCAUUACAAGUUAAACACAGAAAACAUUCUCAAGUGCCUUUAGUACCAUACAAAUGAAGAAAUCCAGAUACAUUUUUAUAAAAACUCCUUAAAAUAUGCUACAAAUAAGCCAAGACUAAGGGACUUCUGCUGUAAAAGUCUGCAAUAAAUCAUUGCACUGAAGACAGAAAAGAAUUUCAUUUAUAAAACUAACCUUGAGGUUUGAUGUCAUUUACCAACAACAACAACAAAUAAGUAAAAGAAACAUUAUUACUUCACUAGGCAACUAGUGGUGUUGCCCUUCUUUCUCUGUUGUAAAAAGGCUAUUUUUACCAGAAAUAGCACAAGCUACCAGUGAUCUCAUGAGGAAACGGUCUCAUCUAGAGAUAAGUUAUAUUUGGUCAACAGAGAUAAGUCAGAUUUUUUGUUUUGUACUAAGGUGUCUACUAAGGUGUUUUCUACUAAGGUGUUCCUGCCUGCUCUCUGGCACUUCUUAUGAGAGAAAUCAAAUAGGUUUGUGUCUUCCACUGGAUCAGUCCUGCAAUCCUUAAAACUAUAAACAUCUAUUACGUACAGAUGGGUAGACUUGUAGGACAACUAUCAUUGCUAUGUCAUGUGGAAUGGUAAUGGUCUGGGAUGGUGACCAAGCAUGCUUAGGAAACAUGGCUUAUUUCCUUUGUGGUUCACAAACCCUGCCGUGGGUCUCUAUGAUGUAGCAGCCACUUUGCUGAAUAAUGCAUCUGUGUCUGGUAUUAUCAUUAUCUUUCUUCCUUUCUAAAGACAUAAAGAAGAUGAAAAUCCUGAAGAUUAAUCUUAAAAUUUACCUUAUGGUAUUGUAAUUUUAAUAAUAGUCUGAAGUACUGAUGUUAAACUACAGCAGUGAGGUAAAAAGUACUGCUUGAUACACCAAGCUCAGAACUGUGCUCAGAGUUUCUGAAACAGUGAAAAGAGGCACCACCUCCUCAGAGAAUUCCUACUCUGAUCUUAUCUCAGCCACCAGCUUCCUUUCAAACAAAGUCCAUCCGUUUUCUCUGGAAAGAGUGGUAAUAUCCAUCUAAGUCAAAGACAGGCUCUGAAGCUUUUGUCAGUUAUACACCACAAGACUUCAGGAUGUGCCCAGACUCUAUGAUUCUAAUAGCAAGUUGGUUUGAGUACCAAAACUCUUAUGUCUGGCUCUGCUGAGUUCCCAGAUGAAGUGCUGAGCCACCUUCCAGACCUGUGCCAUGUAAUUAAACACUUCUGCAUGCAUGGCACAGCACUGUGCUACCUGUGGAGACUGUCAAUAACAGGACAAUGAGAAGUGCAUAGACUGAUGAAUACUGGAACAUGCCCAGACUGUUGGUGCACUUGGCUUUUUCGGUCCAUCCCUAUGAAAAAUCAACUUAUUUUCUUUAAGUGAUUUUGUGGUCUCAUACAAGAAUUGUUGAUGAUCAUUUUCUUUUCAUGUGAAUGUUUAACAGAAGAACUCUAGAAAAUGACAGUGAUAAUAAACCACUGGCUCUUCUGAUCAGGUAGCUUCUCAUUCUAAUUAGUACAAUAAUUUAAUCAACAAAAAUGUUAAUGAACUUUUUGUGUAUGUAUUUUGCAUUCUCACCCCUACAUCUGUCCCUGGCCUUGUCUGGAUUGCUCACAGUAUGUACACAUUCCUUCUAGCAGAUUUAACCACUAUGCAUCACAUUCCAGUGGGAAGGAAAUUGUGUCUCAUUAUUCUCAAUGUUUAACAAAAAACACUUGAAAUAACAAUAAACCAUACAAAUUGCAAAAGUAGAAAAACACAGGGCUCAGCACAGUAGGAGAAGUUCUGUCUGCAAUCUGGAUUGAGUGAAAUGGAGAAAUCUUCACAGACUGUGCUUGAGUCAGUACCUGAAUUAAAAAUUGGCUGUUCUGUUCUAUCAGUUUGUUUUAUAAUUGGUAUUUUGCUUACUACAAGAAAAUUAUAGGUCUUCCAGUGCGCUGUCACAACUUAGAAAUACGUUAAACCAUAAAAUCUUGAGCACACAAUGCAAAAACUGAGAGAAAUAGACAAUUUACAAUCUUCCCAUUUCUAAAACAUAUUUUCUUCAAAUUUACCUUGAUUCUUAUGGUUCAGUUGAGGUCCACAGAACAAGACAAAACCCAUUCCAGAAGUCAGUGGAAGAAGGCUGAAGUGCUAAGAGUAAAAUUUCUGUCUCCAUCUCUUUUUAAAAUGCAUGACUUUUCUGAUGGAAGCAUAUACAGCCAAUACUUACUGCAUGGCGAAUGGGAAUCUCCUGCAUAAUGGAAAUAUUUAAGUCCAACCUGUGUGUGCAUGGAGGGAUGCUUGAUUGUUUUCAAGGAUCCAUCCCAGAUAGGGCAUGAUGGGCACUGCCCAGCAACAGGCAACAGUAGCUCAGCCAAAACCAUGACGUGUCCCUGGACAGCAGUACUGCAUGCUAUGGCUCUAAGGGUUCACUGCCACAGUCAGCCCUCGGUGCUGGGAGCCACCUGGGUGGGAUCAUGUGGAUAUUCCCACCCAAAGCUGAAUCACCUGAGGCUGGGCUGUCCCUGCCCUGAACAUUCCUGUGAUGCACAUCAGCUGUUUGGAGCACAAAGAUAAGGAACUGGUGAGAGUUCACUGACAAGUCCAUGGGCAGGGGAAAUGGGGUCUAGCUAAACUUCUGCAUAAUGUUUAUAUUAGAGUGGGUGGCACAUAAAGCAACCAAAUUUUUUUCCAGAUUUAAGCCAGAUAUGGAAACAAGUCAGGUGCUUUUUGUGUGGUGCUGCAUUUAUAGGAGUAAUUCAGCAGCUUCAGCAUGGUGCUGGGUCUGCAGGGAAUAAUGACCCUUCAGGGUCUUUGCUGCCUUUGGAGCAGGUUUCUCCUGUUUGGCCCUCAGAUGCCCACAGCUGCUGGUGAGUUCACUACAAUCCGCUCUUCCAUCUGGACACCUCUCAUAGUAGAUAUUUUCUAACUAGAAACAUACAAACAUGAAAAUAUGCUGUAUCAGAAAUAGAAGAGAGCUAUUCAACAGAAAUUAUAUGCUCACUGCAUUCUCUUCCAUUUUUUUGACAUUAUAAACCACAGACAGUUAUUUGCAUCAUAAAAAAGAGGAAAAUAUUACCAAUCUUAUUGCAGCAUAAGAUUAUGCUUCUCUUUUAAGGAGAAAUUUCAUUUUCAUUUAUUUUCAAGUGAUCACUGAGGUUCUGUAUUAAUGUUAGGAGUGAAUAUUUUUUUACAUAUGUAAAGCAUAGUUAAAUUGUGAAACUCAUACCAAUAGGAAGUUACAGAAACUACAAAUAAAAAUUACUUCAUAAUGACAAAUUCAUGACUAAGAGGCUCAUCAGAGCCUAUUAAGUACCCUGAUCCAAAUGUAAACUCCACCUAGGCAUAUUCCUAAACUUGUAACUACUAGAAUGAGAGGUGUUCUUGUGAGGCAGCAUGUAGUGGCUUUGCUAUUAAUUAGCUCUUAAACUGACAUCUCUAAUACCAGACUAGAUGGAGCCUCAUUCUGAGUGUGUAGCAUUUUAAAUAUUUGACCUUCCUCUCACGUAAUAACUUUACCCUUUUCCAAGUGGAGAUCAUGUAAUAGAAGACAUACUUGCCGGACAUGUUCAGUAUAUUUUUUCACGGGAUGCCAAACAGGAUUUGCUGAAGAGAAAACCUUUGUCUAUGUCAUGCUUUCAAAGGGAUUUUAGUGAGAUGUCUGUGGGAACUGAGUUUGGUUAACACCAUUCAAAAGUUUGGUCACUUACUUUUUUUUCCUCCUUUGUCCAGGAAAAAGAAAUCACUACACUUCAACAAGUGGUGUCUGAGACCUUACUAUGCUCUGAAGAGCUACACAGACCACCUUGCUCUGGUCAUAUGAUAAAGCUACAAGUGAAGAACAGGAAGAAGAGUUGUUGUUCUGACCUUAGGAGACACUCAUAGCUUUUUGAAAGAUCUAAUCAGAUGGUUUUUGAUAGACAUGUUUUCCAGAUGAAAUUCUCUUUGGAUAACCUGCCCUGCAUCUACAUUGGUGUGAGAAGACAGAGACAGUUGUGGUUUGGGCUUCCCUAUGCUCCAAGGCAGACAGGCAGCUUUGGCACUGAAACUGCUAUGAGCUGCAAGAUCGAAAUAAUGGGCUGGGACCUUGGAACCGGAUAAGGUGAUGACAAAACCCCAUCUGAGUACAAUCUUGCUCAAAGAAUCGUUUGUUUGCACGUGGACAACAUAGCACCAAACAAAAAGAUGGAAAGCCACCACAAGUAUAUGGUGGUUGCAUGAGGUACUAAAGAGGAUAUGUGUGUUUAAAAAUCUACUCACAAUCCCAUGAUCUAUUUCAAAGUGUCUAUUUUAGCAGUGAAGUUGCCAAGUAUUUUGGCAGUACAAGAAAAUUUACCUCCUAAUGUUAAUAUGGUUUGGAAGGUUGGGAAAAAUUAAAAGAAUAUUUUUACUGUACCUUUACUGUACCUUUUGAAGUCUGUGAUGGUUUUGGUCUAGGCCUUCCUGGUGGCCAGUUUGUAACCAAGGAAGUGGCCAAGUACCCAGUAUUCCAUACGAUUUUUACGUAAACCAGAGUAUAAAUAAGUUGGAGUUUAGAGACCUCUCUCUCUUCUCUUCCGGCGAGGUUCAGGAACAGUGGGUCCUUGCGUUGGUCUCGCUUAUCUAAGGCUGAGGCCUGCAGUGACCACUGGCCUGCCAUGUGGGGGGUCCGGAGAGUGCUGGCUGUGUCUGCCAAUCCUGCUUUUCUAAGGGAAGUGGUGAGAUCUGUUUUGUUAAUUACUAGUAUAGUUCUUGAGUUUGAUUGGGUAUACCUGUUCGGUGUCCCUUUUGUUCCCUUUUGUCCUUUUUUUCCCCUUUCCCUAUCCCUUCGGGGGGUGGAUCCCCUUUUACUGUGUAUAUAGCAUCUUAACUGUAUAUAACUGUAAUUUACGUAAAUAUAUAUAUAUUUUUAUAUAAGCAGCUUGACUUUGGGUUCUUUAAUUUUUUAUAGUUUUUUUUUCUUUGCCCUAAGAGGAGAAGGGAGGGGGGAAGGGGGCUGCUGUCGUGACUUUCGGGCAUUUGGCAGGGAGCCAGGUCCAAGCUAUCACAAAGUCAUAAAAGAUGGUGAUUAAGUUUUAAAAUUAACCAGAGGGAGUAAUGAUGUUGUAUUUUAAACAAGACUGUAAAAUUUUAGUGCUCCUUGGCAUGGCUUGAACAACUAGGACCUAUAGGAAAAACUUUUGAAUCUUUUUGACCAGAAAUAAAACGUAUCAUUGGAGUUUAAGUUUGUACCCCUAUGAUUCUUAAGUGGAAUAAUGAUGUUUAUUUUAUAAUCUUGAUGUAAAUUUCCUAAGUGAUAAACUGACUAAAAAGAUUUUUUUAAACAUAAACAGCUUUAGGUGAAGCUGUGGUGCUCUAGGACUCCUUCUAUGCUAUUCUGAAGUAUAAAGAAAAACUGAGAACGAAAUAGAGCCAUCUCUCAUUCAAGAAAGGAGUCUGGGGCACCUGGAGACUCCUUUCCUGGCUGCCAACAGGAGCCCUUUCAGGACUGAAACCAAAACCUGGAUCACAUGAAGAGAGAAGAUAACUUUGGGAGCAACCACUUCUGUCCUGGAAGAGUCUGAAAUGUUGGACACUGAAAUACAAAAUGUCAUCAUAAUAAGUUUCAUGGCUUUUGCUGAAAACUGUAUCACUUGAUGGAUGACAGCUAGAGCAGCUGAAUCCACAACCCACAGAGGGCAAAAUGGGUUCUAAUAAUAAAAUACUAAAAUUGCCAGAAACCAUCCUAAAAUACGUUGCCUGUGACAUAUAAGGAAACAUACUGCAAUAUUGGCUGACUCUACUGGCAUUUGCUUUAAAAUACCCUGCACCAUACCAGUGGCCCUUCCAUCCCAGAGUAAAAGGUAGCUGUUCAGAGGGACCUCUGUUAUUCACUUAAUGCACUGUGCUUACACUCUCCUCUCUUUUGGAUACAAAUGGGACAUAAGCUAUAUGUUUUCCCUUGGAGUUAAUUUUCCCUUUCUAGAAACAAAUUUGCAAAAUAGACAUUUGCAUAAGAAUUAACAUUUCAGACAAAUGUAUGGCAGCCAGGUUAGUGAUUGUGAUUCGGGAUAAUGCUAAAGAAUGAACAUUAUUUCCUGUUCUUUUAAGAAAAUCUUUUCCUUAUUAGAAGUGGUACAAAAGAUAUCAAUUUGUAUGUGAGUAGUCACCAUGUUUAUUGUAUACAAAGACUUGAUAACUCACCAGCAAGAUAGGAAUGGGGGUUUAUUCAGAUAAUUUUUUAGAAUCUGACUCAUUCACCUGAACUCAUUCUAUAGUAGGUAAAGGAAAAAAAGGCAAUGCUAGAAAAAUUAUUAAGUUAGUCUUAUGGUAGAUGGCUAAAAUACAUUAUGUAGCUCAGAUCUGAGAAGUAUUCAUUCAUCUCCUUUAAUUACAAAAGAAGUCUAGGCGACUUCAUGGGUUGUAUAAUAUAUAUGUCUACCUUUUGGCAAGAUGAAUCCCACCUGUCCUGUCAGUGUCAUCAUGCAAAUUGCACAUUCGUUUGUGCUAAAUUACCAAAUACAAUCUCUGUGCUGCAUUACGUGGCAGCAGCAGCACUUGGGUGCAGAAAAGCAUACAGAGCAGGCAGCUGUAAACAUAUAUGGGGCUUUCAGAGACACUGCUGCUCCCAGGAACAAUCAGCUAGAGUUCAGUUUUCUGAAAGAGGUUCCUUUGCCAGCCUGGAAUUCUUUGGAGAUGCAGCUGUGGGAUCUCUCAAGGCACUGUGCGGACAGGUGUGGUCAACCUGCUGCUUGAGGAAAGCCUGCCCAAAGGGCUUUGGCUCAAGGGUAACGCACUUCCAUGUCCUAAGCACCUUCAUGGUUUGCCUCCUGGGCCCUUUCUCAGUUCCAUCUGCCAGCAUUUUUACAGGAGUGAAGUGUGUGCUUUGUCCAGCUGCCUUAGCUGAUACACAGGGCAUGCAAGGACGGUGACAUGCAAUGGAAGGAUGGAGAAAGAGGGCUCUGGUAAAUCAUUUAAAAUACAUUACCAUUCUUCAGGGAGCAGACUAAUCCACACUCUGCUUUCUUGAUUGGUCUCCUACUGCAGAUGUUUUACUUGUGUUAUAAGUGAAUGUUCUAUUCUCAAAAUAAUAAAGCUUUUUGUUAAGGAGUAGUUCAAAUUAGCAGUAAUUCAGAAUUUUAUUUUUUUUUAUUUAAGAGGGCAUAAAUGGAAUUAUAAAAUUUUUUCAGUAUUUUAAUUCCUUUCAUGAGCAUAUUUUGGGUCUUGAGGGAUGUUCAUACCAAAUAUGUGGCUUAGUUACAAGUACUUUACUUCUUAAAGCCCUUGUGUUUUGAGGCAUAGCCAGAUAGGAUGACAGAAUAUAUAUUAUUUUUAUAGUUCAUAUUUGGGUUGAUAGCAUGAAGAAUGUUUUAUCCUUGUGAGAAAAUUAAACAUUCCUGUCUAAUUUAAAAAGGGAUUGUCUAAAGGACUUGCUGUAAUCCUCUAUAUGCUUUUGGGAUCCUCUUCCUCUCCAUUAGGAACUGUUCUUUAUUCUUUUGCAAUCAGCUCUCAUAAUUUAGGAAUUCAUAAUGUCAUUUCAAUUGUAAGUGGUUUACAAAUGCCAAAAAAAUCUCUGUGGACAUCUUGUGUGUUAAUGGGAUGGGGAAGAGGAGGUUGUUUUUGUAGUGAGGCAUUAUGAGCAAUAAAAAAUAUCUUUGGGCAAGAUACUGCAGUUCAGUGGCUGAUUGUAUGGUUCAUUCAGUAUUGGAUGAGGAGUAAGAAUUCCUUUCAAGCAAUGAUUGUCUGUAGAGUUGUUUUGGUUUUGAUUUUAUUAAUGCCCAUGGGAAGCUUAUGAAAAAAUAGGAAGCCCAUUUAUUUUAAAAACAAACAAACAAACAAACAAAAUAAUUCCAUUCUCAGAAAAAAAGAAAGUUUUCUGAAAUAGUAGUUAAGUUUAUCUCACUCUCCUUCAGGCUAAUGAAUAACAUAUUCAGCUGGCAAAAAUAUCUUUAGAAACAUGAUAUCAUCACAGCUAAAUCUUGCUGAUUGAUCUCAUACAGUAAGCAGGACAUUAGUGGCAGCCUCAUACAAAUUACUCUCUUCUUGAAUUUCUGAUCUACUUUACAUUACUUUUGAUUAUUUGUCUCAUUGUCACUGCCUUCAACACUGGUGAGACAUACCUGAAGUACUGGGUCCAGUGCUGGGCUCCCAAGUAAAAGAGGAAAAGGACACUCUACAGCAAAGUCCAGCAAAGCAGCAUGAAGGGAUCUUCAGGGGAGUAUGAGCAUCUCAUACUAGAGGAAAGGCUGAGAGCUGAGAUUGUUAAGCCUAAAUAUAAGAUGGCUCCAGGGGGAUCUUAUCAAUGUUUAUAAAUUUCUGAUGGUGGAGGGUAAAGAAGAGGGAGCCUGACUAAUCUCAGGGGUUCCCAGUGGCAGGACCGGAGGCAGUGGACACAAAGAGAAAUAGAGGAGAUUCCCUCUCAACACAGGAAAACACCUUUCUACAUGGAGGGUGAUUGAAGUCUGGCACAGGUUUCCCAAAGAGGUUGUGGAGAUUCCAUUCUUUGUUUAACCUCGAGAAGAGGAGGCUCAGGGGUGACUUUAUCGCUCUCUACAACUAUCUGAAAGGAGAUUGUAGCCAGGUGGGAGUUGGCCUCUUCUCCUUGGCAGCUAGUGACAGGACAAGAGGACACUGUCUAAAGCUGUGCCAGGUGAGGUUUAGUUUGGACAUUAGGAAGAAUUUCUUUACAGAAAGGAUGAUUAGACAUUGAAAUGGGUUGCUCAGGGAGGGGAUAGAGUCACCGUCCCUGGAGGUGUUCACUUAGUGCCAUGGUCUAGUUGGCACAGUGGUCUUCGGUCAUAGGUUGGACUUGAUUAUCUCAGAGGUCUUUUCCAACCUAACUGAUUUGGUGAUUCUAUUGUAUUUCAAAGUCAUCUGAACAUGAUCCUGGGCAGCUGGCUCUAGGUGACCCUGCUUGAGCAGGUGGGUUGCGCUAGGCCAUCUCAAGCCUCAGCUUUCUGUGCUUUUGCCACUGUUUCUGUAUUUCGACAAGAGCCAGGACAAGCUGUGGCUUAGCAGUGUUAGUGCUGCUGCAGUUCAUAUGUAGGCAUGAGCUUCUGAAAAAGGCUUUAUGCUGAAUUACAGACCAAGAAAUAGAUUUCUUCAUUUCCACAAUGAAAUAGGGCCAAAGGCCAGAAUGGACAGAACAUACAUCCAGUCUGAAUCCCUGUACAUUAAAAGCCAUAAUGCCUAGUCCAAAUGAAUGAAGAGUCAAAUAGGAUCUUCAGAGGUUGCAUAGUCUGUCUCUUUGUCCUUGGGUGGAGUUAAAUGUGCCUAAGUCAUUACUGACAACUUUUCCAGUCAUUAACGAUCCUUACUACUAGAAAGACUUUCUUGAUAUCUAAGUGAAACUUCAACAACUGUUGGCCCCAGAAUUCCAUUAAUUUGACUUCUUGCCUCACUGAUCAUUGAGCAGAGUUUAUUCACUUUGCAAGAUGGCUGCCAUUCCCUCCUCAGCCUUUUCUUCUCCAGCCUGAACAAACUCUCCCAUUCUGUCAACCUUUUCUCCCUAAAGAUACAGGAAAAAUUCCCUGGGGACUUUAAAUUGAAACAGUGCAGCAUGCCUGUGUGUUAUCCACCUAGUCUAAGCGCUACCAAAUGAACUACCAGGUUGACCCUUAAAAACAACCUCUUGUGUGAUGUGUGGAAUGUACUGAAGCAAAUGAUCUGGUAAAUCCACUUAGAGGCUUUUGGAAUGUUUUAUCAAGACUAAAAUCAGUGAUUAUGUCAAACUGUGUGUACCUAAAUGAAACAGUGUUCCCCAUGAGGGAAGAUGGACAUGGGAUGUCUAGUCCCUGGUGGCCCUGGGCUCUCUGCCUUGUCAGGCAGUACCUGAGCUUUGGGAUGGCACUUCACUGCAGGUUGCCAAGUGAGGUACUUUGGCACUUUCCCUUAGUAAAACUGGGAGCACUGGGAGAGCUGCUUCCUGCUCCAGGCACUCAGCUGUCUUGCCAGAGCUCAGGGGAGAUCUCCCUGGGGGCAGUGUCGGCACCUGCACCAUGGCUAAAAAUGUGCUUGCCAGAGCAUGCAAUGAGGUUACCCAAGGGCACGGAGCACUGUAAAGCCCCAAAGUCAUGCCCUUCUCAGUCCUGAUCGAGCAGGAACCGCACUAACCAAGUACUUGAGGUAUUUUUUUGCUGCCUCAGUGCACCAGGUGAACCUUUGCCUUCAACCACCACAAGCUGCUUGAUGAAACUAGAAGAAAGCAAAUGGACAAAUACAAGGAAAAAUAGAAAAGAGAGUAGGGGAAAAAUUGCAUGAGGAGGAUCAUCUCCGCCCCAUGUCCUCUUCUCCCAGUCUUGAAAGAUGGAUUUUACUUCUGUAUUUGUUAAAAUGCAAAGCUGAAGGAGUUAUGGAUGCACGAAAUUCGACACAUGCAAUUUAACUAUCCCCCAGGAACACUAAUAUUUACACAGAGACAACUUAAAAAAUAAAAAGAGAGAAGUCUUCUAUGCUGAGUUAAUGAAGUCUGUAGAUUCUAUAAAGAUAAUAGAGCUACAGACAAUAAACCAAGAAAAAUGGUAAGAAUUUGUAAUCACAAAAAAAGUUGCUAUUGUGGAGAGUAACAAAGAACAAGAGUCUGUUCUUAUGAAAGUCCCAGCAAGAUUUUUUUCUCAUUCAUUUCACUUUGAAAACACCUUGAGAAGCAAUCUAAGGUAUACUCUGAAAUCAAAAUUCUGCAAAAUGAAUAGAAAUUCACAAUACUUUUCAGCAUCACCUAAUCUGUGUUUUUAUUCAAGCGGUCUCAUUGAAUAAAAACAGAUAAAAGAGAAAUCAGGUCCAAAGUACUGAAGUAGAUAAAAUAAUUUAAAUGCAAAGUGUAGUCAGUGAAAAGUAGAGAGCGCAUUUAUAUGUUCAGAAAUGUACUGAUGCUUUCAAUCCCUCUCACAUAUUACUGAAGUAUGCUCUAUUUUACUCAAAAUGAUGUCGUCUAAUUCUUUUGUUAAACCCUAUUGAUUUUAAUAGGAUAUCGCUGUUGUAACAAGGUGCAGAAUUAGAAAAUAAAAUGUUCUAAUGCAGGCAUUUUUCUUUUACAGAUCUGUUUCUGGUGUCCUUCAUUAUGCUUUGCUGUGAUCUUUGAAAUCACCUUCAAGGCUCUGUCAGUUUUGUUCCCAAUCUCCUUGAAAACACUGUUUCUGGGCAUUGACCAGACCUCUUUGGCGGCUGACAAAGUUUACAUUUCUCAGUACAUGGGCUGCACCUGUAGAUGUUUGUGGGUACAACAGCAGUACAAGCUGCAUGGCAGAAAGACUAAGUUUUAAGUAGUACCUAGUGUCUGCUUUGACCCCUUGUUAUGAGACCUGACAAUAUAGGUGCAAGAUCACCUAGGAAUGCAAAAGAGAAAUAGAUUUGAUAGUUCAACAGAGUGAAAAUUAUUUGAGAAAGGUAAAGGGUUUGACCUUAUUUUUAAGAUGUAUGGAGUUUAAAGUUCUCUGUGAGAGAAUGUCAGUUCAUUUUUAACUUGUGAAAAAAAAGCAUAGUAUAAUUUUUCAGCAGUUUAAUGAAUGAGACAUUGGGGAAAAAUGUUUAUCCUAGAACAGAAAAAACCAAAGAGUCCUGUCACAGACCACGAGCUUUUCAAACCAUAGCCACCUCAGUUGCAGUAGCCAAUGAAACCAUAUUUGGGACUAGCAUCAGCUUAAUUUUAUUUCCUUUAUCACUGUCUUACAAAAAUAGUACUGGGUAAAGGUUAGAAAACUGCUUUAAUUAGCUUUUUUGAUCAUGUUAUUGAGUCCAUGCUUUUUAUUCGUGAUUCGUAUCUACUGUCUGCUUUCCUCAACAGCCAGGAGCUAAAAGAGAUCAGCAAAGAGUAGGUCUGGAAGAAUAAGCAUUUGUAUGAAUAAGAAUAUAGAAACAGAAUUAUAGAACAUGUUUUGCAUGAAAAUUGUAGAAAAAGGCUUGAGAAAAAAAGUGAACCCAGAAAGAUACAUAGAUAUUUUGUGAGGUUUUUUUAUUUUCCAGAUUUGAAACAAAAAUCAAAACCAUUUAUCACAAUGGUUCAUUUCAACAUUUUUCAAAGUAAAAUGCUUCACUUUCCAAACUGAAAUUAUUUCUCUCCUUUGAUUUCAGAAAAUCACUACACUGUAUUAAAAAGACAACACAGAAUGCACGUUGAUUUAUGAUAUUCCUGUAAUAAAAGAAAUAAAUCCUGUUCAGCUUGAAAUAAUUCAACUCCUUGAUUCUGCAAUGUUUUCAAAAGAUUCAGUUUGUAAUCUGGCCAGGUAAUACUACAUUUAGGAGUUACUAGUGAAUUAAAAAAGUAAAAUAAGCUAUUUCCUUAGCUCAUAUGAGCUCAUAGCACUCCAUAUCAACACUAAGAAUAAAAGGAGCUACACUCAGUCUAAUAACUGGGAAGGGGAAAAGGCGCAUAAAGUUUCAUAAGAAAGCCCUGCUAGUAAUCAAGUGUUUGGUACGAAGAGCAGUUGCACCGAUUUUGAAGGAAGCUGGAGUUAUAGGAAGAAAAGCUGCUCAAAGAGAUUUUUGUUCAAUAUCUAGAAACUUAUUUGACAGAUGCAAUUAAAGCUGAAAAUGAAGGUAGUAGAUUCUGAAAAGAGUAGGACUGAUCUAGUUUAAUGAAGAGAUUUGACAAAAUUAUAUAACAUGAUACAAAAAUAGAACUUCUAUUCAUCUCUAUAGUAGAAGAACUAGGCAACUACUGUGAAAUUGAAAAAAAAAAUCCAUUUUAAAGCUCAUAAAAGAAAAUGUGUUGUUACACAGCAUGCUGUUAGACUGGAACUCCUCACAAUUUUUAUCACAGACAGGUUUUGGCUAGGCUGACCGUUACUUGCUGGAACAGCUGGGACAGCUGAUAGUAAAACACUGAAAUAAAAUCAGUAUUUAAAUGUGCAGAGGCAUACAUGCGAAUAUUAAAUCAUAUAUUCUUGUCUUUCACAAUCUACUUAUAACAGAGGUAAGCGGAUUUUGUUUUCAAUUAAAUCUAAAAUAAAUCAAUAAAAGAUGCCACCCUUCAAUGGAACCUUUGUUUCUGUGAGAUGCUUGCAAAAAUAGUUAUUUUUCCAUUCUGCUCUAAUUUCAGGCCUUUUGUUUAAAGUAUAUGCCCAAAUAAUUGGACAAUAUGACUUUAAAACAAAUCCUUAGUGUUUAAGAUGACAAUACUAAUAACUUACAAUAACCGUACAACUCUACAAUAAAUUCUAACAAUAAUAAUAAACUUUUCUAUAUUCUUUCAUUUUCUGUGCAGGAGGCAUAUAAUGUUAUACUUUUAUUUCAUAUUUCUAGACUUCUAUGUUCAUAUUUUUUACUUAAGGUUUUUAUUUUCUAUGAAAAAUACAUUUAAACAGCAUAUUUAGAGUGGAGAAAAGGGAUAAAUCUCCUACUAUUUAAAGUUUCCAACGGUUAAAGAAGUCUCUAAGAGAGUUGCAAAUUGAUAACUGGUUAUUUCCACCAGUUUCUGUUUUACACUUGUUGUGCCUCUCUGCCAUUUCCUGUUUAUCUGAAGUGUCUAAACAGGACACAUUGGCAACCAUCUGCCACAGAUUUUAUUUUCAUUGCACUGCACUAUUAGCAAAGUUGUUUACCUCUGAGGGUUUUACCAAUAAAAAAAAUUAUCUAGUGGUGAUUGCAUGUGGGGUGGCUGCCUCUGCUGCUGAGAAGAGCUCAUAGAAAGAACAUGAGUUUCCAUCUAGUGUAAUGAAAUUAAAACCCACAUUCAGUUGACUCAUGUGCCAUGUGUGGUAGCUGUGUGUUUGUUGGCUGAGUGCGAACAGUACGGACAAAUGGCUCUUCUGUCAUUGGCUGUCAAUGGAUGAAAUUUAUAUGAGAGCCUCAGGUGAGGUCCACCCCUGCUGCUCACCGCUGCUCCUGUGUGCGUAGCUGAAGGUGCUGGGGCAGGAACAGAGCACAGGAGGCACUGAGAGAUUGCUGUGAGGGAAGGGCAAAAGAUCACCUCCAGUUCAACUGCUUUCUGUCCAACCUCUAGGCAUGGAGGAAGCUAGAAAUUCCUCAGAGAAAAAAAAGACUUCAUUCCAACCUCUCAAGCAAGGAAUAAAUAGACAGCUAAUUUUGAAAGUGGCAAAAUUCUCAUUGGCAAAAUGCUAAAUUUGUCUAUUAUACACUGUUGCUGGUUGGCAUUUAAACAAAUUUUAUACAAAUCUGUUUUUCUGCCUUCUUGUUUUGUUGGUGAUAUUUUUUAACAAACCAUGUGGGUCUGAUUUUUUUGUCUAUUUCUUCCUGUGAUUCAAUGCAACCAUUCUAGUUUAUUUUAUACAUGCUAUUAUAAUAGCAUUAUAAUAUAUAGCCAAAUAUUUUAUUUAUUUCCAUCUACCUUAAAAUGGACGUCAGUUCACAGUUAUGCAUAUAGAUCUUAGUCUUCACAUUAUACAUAUAUACAUGUCUUAAUUUUCACAUUACACAUAUAAAUCUUAAUCACACAGGUGCACAAACACUUAGCUCAGAGCACUGAGCAGGAUUAAAUAGACCAGAAGGCAUUAGAUGAUUUCCAAGACAUUUUCUCUCACCAAGUAUUUCCAGAAAAACAAACACGAAAGAGUGCUCUCAGUAACAGAAGAACUUACCAGAUGUUACCUUUUCCCACUCAGGGCUUUUGACAGGCCGUUCCACCAGUGAAGAGCUGUGUCAUUUGGUGAUGUAGAUGCCUGAUCUGCUCAUUCCCAUCAGCAGUGGAGUUUUCAUGGGUGUUUCCUGAUCUGUUUUGCUGAGCUUCAGCAUUUCUAAAGGGUGAUUUGACUUGGUCUGAAAGACCUCUCCUGGACCAAAGAAAUGGAUUAAGAAAUGCCUGGAAUAAGAAGUGCUUCACAUGAACUGCGCUGGGAAUGCUGGACAGGUGGCAAUUUUUUGGUGCUCUUUUCACAGGGCAGAACAGGAGGCGAAAGGUGAUGCCUGACUGCAGGCUUAGCAUGUCUUUUCUUAGGAGAGUGUCCCAGAGAGAGCAGUCCCCAACCAUGGCUAUGCUGAGAUGGUGCCUCCUGACACACCCAGGGACCAGCUGGGACUGCAGUGCAUUGUGUUUGGGUCACCUAACAAUAUAGAAGUCUAGGUUCAGCUCUGGUCCUGCAGAUGUUUGGCUUGAAGGCCCCCAAAUAAGUUGUCAUUAAUUCCAGGUACUUUUGCAUGAGUAGAUUGAAAGGUUUGACUUCAUUUGACGCCUGUGUUUUCUGUCCUAAAGCACUCAGUUUUUAAAAAUAAUAAGCCAAUCUAAAUGGUGUGGAACUGAACUCUUAACAGCAAAAUGAAGUUUCCUGGAACUCACCAAUUAAAACACUAUUUGGAAAAUAUUUUUUAAUUUAUUUUUAUUUUAUUAUUUUGUUAUUUAUAUGCUAAUGUGCAGUGCUGGGGCUAUUCCUGCAUGUCUGAAAAAAUGUGAUUAAUGGUCAGCAACCCCUGAAGUAGUUACCUAUGAAUUUAUUAUUUCUAUUCUUAAACCCAUGUAUUAGAUUUAGAGGGGCUUACAGUAAUUGUAAACCCCCUAUCUUUCCAUAUUAAUGUGUACAAACGUUUUUGUGUUUCAAAGCCUCAGUGAAUGUAGGUAGCAUGCACAUUUUGAAUAAAAAAGUAUACAGAAUAAAUACCUAAAUAAAACCAGAAAAUUAUGAAGAAAGAUAAACUGGCUGUGUCUAUAAUGUACUUGUACAAUGUGACCCAGCUGUACUCUCUGCCCCCUCAUUGCCUGUACUAGCAGGAGACAUCUCUUCAAAUGCUCUCUUUGGGGAGAACCACCAGUGAAGUGCACUGACCCCUCACCCUGCUCUCUCUGCAUACAGGAAAGAUGGAGAGAGGUUUGGCCAGAGGGAUUUAGUGUGCAUUUUUCAAAGAGAGAAAUGGUGUGGACCAUGCUAAAGGUGAUUCUUAUUUGCAUCUCUUGUGACCUUUCAGUAAGACCCACUGCAUACAUACUUGACCUUUCGAUGGUCCAGGUGCUGUAGAGUUUGCAAAGAAUACGUUUAACUCUGCUAUUUGGAACAGGAGUUGUGUAUUUAUAAUGUGGUGUAAGGUCUUGCACAAAGACCUUAAGACCUAAUCAUCCCAGGUCCUCUAGAUCCAGGAUAGUCUUAAUUGUAAAUAGAGUUGGUUACUAGAAUAAAAAAUGGCUUUAUAUAUAUUACUAUUUAAUGCUUAGCAAUUACUUGGGAAGUAUUAGUUGUGCAUAACAAUAAUGAUGUAUUAUUUCAGGGGAGCCCUUUCCUGUAGGCUUAUUCCUUGCAUUAUUAAGUGUAUCUC